rnacentral:rRNA from 1 species
UACAGAGGGUGCAAGCGUUAAUCGGAAUUACUGGGCGUAAAGCGUGCGCAGACGGUUGCGUAAGUCAGAUGUGAAAGCCCCGGGCUCAACCUGGGAAUUGCAUUUGAGACUGCGUAGCUAGGGUGCGGAAGAGGGAAGCGGAAUUUCCGGUGUAGCGGUGAAAUGCGUAGAUAUCGGAAGGAACACCAGUGGCGAAGGCGAGUCUCUGGACAUUUCCUGACGCUGAGGCACGAAAGCCAGGGGAGCAAACGGG